rnacentral:rRNA from 1 species
GGGGAAUUUUCCGCAAUGGGCGAAAGCCUGACGGAGCAAUACCGCGUGAGGGAGGAAGGCUCUUGGGUUGUAAACCUCUUUUCUCAGGGAAGAACAAAAUGACGGUACCUGAGGAAUAAGCAUCGGCUAACUCCGUGCCAGCAGCCGCGGUAAUACGGAGGAUGCAAGCGUUAUCCGGAAUGAUUGGGCGUAAAGCGUCCGCAGGUGGCAUUGCAAGUCUGCUGUUAAAGCUCAGGGCUUAACCCUGAAAAGGCAGUGGAAACUGAAAUGCUGGAGUGCGGUAGGGGUAGAGGGAAUUCCCGGUGUAGCGGUGAAAUGCGUAGAGAUCGGGAAGAACACCAGUGGCGAAAGCGCUCUACUAGGCCGCAACUGACACUCAUGGACGAAAGCUAGGGGAGCGAAUGGGAUUAGAUACCCCAGUAGUCCUAGCUGUAGACGAUGGAUACUAGGCGUUGAGAGUAUCGACCCUCUCAGUGUCGUAGCUAACGCGUUAAGUAUCCCGCCUGGGGAGUACGCGCGCAAGCGUGAAACUCAAAGGAAUUGACGGGGGCCCGCACAAGCGGUGGAGUAUGUGGUUUAAUUCGAUGCAACGCGAAGAACCUUACCAGGGCUUGACAUGUCCGGAACCCCAGGGAAACUUGGGGGUGCCUACGGGAGCCGGAACACAGGUGGUGCAUGGCUGUCGUCAGCUCGUGUCGUGAGAUGUUGGGUUAAGUCCCGCAACGAGCGCAACCCUCGUUUUUAGUUGCCAGCAUUCGGUUGGGCACUCUAAACAGACUGCCGGUGACAAACCGGAGGAAGGUGGGGAUGACGUCAAGUCAGCAUGCCCCUUACGUCCUGGGCUACACACGUACUACAAUGCUACGGACAAAGGGAAGCAAGCGUGCGAAUGCAAGCAAAUCCCAUAAACCGUGGCUCAGUUCAGAUUGCAGGCUGCAACUCGCCUGCAUGAAGGCGGAAUCGCUAGUAAUCGCAGGUCAGCAAUAGUGCGGUGAAUACGUUCCCGGGCCUUGUACACACCGCCCGU